rnacentral:lncRNA from 7 species
ACCCGCACACACGUACAAAAUCCAUCUCUUUAAUCCUGCAUGCCCGUCGGGAUGGGCAAGGCUUCAGGCCUCCAGCCAUGCAGAUGCAUGUAUGUGCCAUCACAUACACGCACCAUCACGAAUUAACGCAGCAUGCAAGUAGUGGGCCCCACCUGUUAAGCAAGCCGCAGAUCAUGUUGCCAUCACGUCCGCAACGGAGGCGCGUUGAGCAGCGGUCCCACGCGACGUGGUAGGAUCGGCGACGCGCGACGUCAGAGAUUGUGGAGCAGCAGCAAGGACUCCCACCGGAACAAACAUGAGAGCAGGGAGUUCGGCUAGUUCGGCUAGGCCGGUGACCUGCCGGCUUGAUGAAGAGUUGAUGCAGAUCUGAUCCCGCAGCAACGUCGAGGUAGAGCGUGCUGAUAACGUGUUGAGAACUAUGUUACCACGGAUCACCAGAUCCGCUCCCUUCCCUCCCGUCAGCAGUAGAGGCGCGAGAAGUUGUAGAAGACCCGUCUCCCUUCCCAUAAACACGACAGAGGAAACACACAAGACACUGGAUAUAGGGUUGGGCCUCUGGCCUCUUUCUGAUCUCUGUCUUAUGAUGGGGGUGUACAUGUUCCUUAUAUAGAGAUGUGAGACCCCUCAGGG